AUUAGUGGAUUUUCUGAGCCAAAGGGCAACAGCACAUCACAAGGUGGGGAACAGAAAGAGCUUUGGGAAGGAGUUCCUGACAACGCUGUUCUUAAGCCAAGCAAGAACACUGGCCCAAGCCACACAGUGACUUUCAUCAAGCUGCACUGGUCUUGGGACCUUGGUUCUUCAUCAUCAACAAAGAAGGAAAUGGGAGCUGGCAUGGUGGCGCAUCCCUGUAAUCGCAGCAGUUAGGGAAGCUGAAACAGGAGGACUGUUACAGGUGGGAUCAUGAGUCUGUUCAAGGGGAUCGGCUGUUUUGAGUUGAGGAGAUGGCAGGGCCUAGCGGGUGAAGCCCGAGCAGCCUCAUUUGCAGCCUCAUUCCCAUUGGUCGAUGGGAACUGACUUGCUUUUUGCAGUUUCACUGGACGUUGAAAUCACCAUGGCUGUUUGUUCCACUGCAUCACGCCCCAGCCUCCCAAUUUGUAAUCAGCAGCACUCAGGGUGGAAGACGGAAUCAGUCCCUGCUCACGGUUGUGGAUCAAGAUGUAAGAUGUCAGCUGCAUCUUUACUCUGACUUCAUGGACUCAAAACCUCUGAAACUGCAACUGAAACUAAACUCACUGGAAAAUAAAAUCCAAAAAGACAUGAAAAGGGAAGAGCUGGGCAGAAGGAAGUCACCAGGAGUGGGA